rnacentral:rRNA from 1 species
CCCUUAGAUGUUCUGGGCCGCACGCGCGCUACACUGACGAAUGCAACGAGCUUAUAACCUUGGCCGAAAGGUCUGGGUAAUCUCCAAAUUUCGUCGUGAUGGGGAUAGAUUAUUGCAAUUAUUAAUCUUCAACGAGGAAUGCCUAGUAAGCGCAAGUCAUCAGCUUGCGUUGAUUACGUCCCUUCCCUUUGUACACACCGCCCGUCGCUCCUACCGAUUGAAUGGUCCGGUGAAGCGUUCGGACCGUGGCCUUUGGACGGUUCGCCGUCUGUUGGCUGCGGGAAGUUCGUUAAACCUUAUCAUUUAGAGGAAGGAGAAGUCGUANCA